GUCAGCAGAGGAGAAGGUAUUCAGAUCCGUUACUGAGGUAAAGGUACUGAUACCACCUCGUCAAAGUACUCCAGCAACAGUAAAAAGCACUGCAUCUUAAACCUGUAAAAGUACCAAUUCUUCAGUGAGAUGCUCCCGUUGUUGUUGUUCAUGUGGGGGUCAUCACAGGUCACCCAGGGAGAAGCACGGCCUGCUUUCAGCUUUGUGACCACGCGUUUUCCAGCUGAAGAGGCUUUUUUGAGGCGCUUUGUUUGGCUGGAAAAGUGAACACUUCAUCACUCGGUUUAUCUCUCAACAUCAACAUCUGGAGCAGCGUGUUUUUAUCUGGACUGAUGGAAGACUUUCAUCUGAGGAGUCACGCAGACGCAUGAGUGGAAAAAAGUACAACGUGCUUGCUGAGAAAUACUCCGGCACAAGUACUUUAGAUCGUAGUACUGGAGUAAAUGUACUUUUUGCAUGGAUCAUAUGGUUAAGAUCAGCCUGCUGUGUGUGUGUGUGUGUGUGUGAGUGUGUGUUUCAGCUCUUGUGACCUCUUAAUAUCGCAUCACAUGUCUGAUCUUAUUCUUGUCUGCCAUCUGAACUCCUGUCAUGUGCUCUUUUUUGCCCAAUCCGUCACACUUAAUCUGUGCGGAAAGCAAAAAAAUCUUAAAGAGCAGAGCCUCCAGCGCCCCGGGAGCGCUCCGGGGGGAGAGAGGGGAGAAACAAAAGAAGAAGAAGAAGGAAGAAAAUCACAACGGCGUAUCGUUUCAGGGGCAUGAAUGGCAUCAAUGAUCCGCUGAGGGGGAUAAACGGGGCGAGAGAAAGAUGAGGGAACAAUGUGCCCGUUGUUCGGUAAUCUGGGGUAAAUCGUCUGUCUCUCUCGCUGUCAGGUGUGGAGCUGGAGCUCGUGCUUCAAGGGUUUCCCCGGGACGGCGCUGUCCUAAUGAUUUAGACGGCUCUCUGCCCUCGUCUCCCUCCUUCAGCAGAGCGGGAGGACUCGCCGAGAAGCGACGCCGCCGACGCCGGGGGAAAGUGAACAGCGUUCAUGCUUAAUCCCCCACAAAGGUCAACAAGGUUCAACGUGCCGGCGAAUAAAAAAGUAGAACGCAAGACUUCAAGGUCGUAGUUAAGUGCAGACGGUGGAACAAGGAUUCAGAUAUUUUAAUCAGAAGGGCUAAAUUCCAACCGCAGGGCAUAUCUUUUAGUUCUCUAAACAGCACUGAUCAGUGUCGCGGAGCCAGUUGGUCCCGUCGAGGGAUCAAUUAAGUUGUGGUACAAACUCAUUGACCUUGAUGGAAAUAACAAGAUAAAGUCUAAAGAACAGAGCAGUCGACAGUGGAGCAGAAUACUAAAGUGGCAUAAAAUGGGAACUAGAUCUUAGAUUGUCUCUGGUUUGGUUGAUUUUCAUGAGAUUUCUGCAGCUGAGGACCGACGUUGAUGAGAAGUUCUGGUCAUUUUCCAGCCGUGGUACUCAAAGUCAUUUCAAAAGCGCUCUGCUGACCAUCGUCUCAGUUUUACUCGUUCUUGAUUUGUGUCCUCGGAGGAUCUCGGGGGGAAACGCGCUUCCCUCGAUGCGGAACGUGAGCCCCGCUUUGAGUUCCCAUCCGGGGGAAAAGUUCACAUCCCAAAGGGCCGAAAACACGCGUGAUUUCCUUGAGUUUAGCACAUGUACGACUGGCUCACACACACAGUACACGUGUGUACUUUCGUGCGUUAUGAGCACAGAAAACCUUUCUUUACUCAGUCAAAUUGAGUUUGCACGUAAAUCCAGAUGAGCGUGAUUAAUGACUGUACAAACAGUCGUGAAGGGGAACACAUGGCCGCGUUUCCCCCGGGCGCCGUCGUUGCGUCCACUGCUUUGCCAAAACGAGCAGCCGACGCCUGUUGGAGAUUAGAUUUUUAAUUAAAGAGAUUGAUGAUUUUACAUUUUCGCGGGAAACAAGUUUAUUCUCUUUUUCUCGCGGGAAGUUCGCGGUGGGGAUUGUUGCCACUCUGGAGUCUGCACAAUGGACAUGGUUAGCUUAGCUUAGCAUAAAGUUGACCUGCAAUCACGUCCGAAGCUCAUUUAUAUUUGAGAAAAACAAAAAAUUGAAUACAAGUAGUGUCCUGCAUCCACUUAUAGUGAAAGUCAUUGGCUCCGCGGACUAUGUUGCUGGAUCCUUGCAGCUGAACUCGUGUAUUGAUGACUUUAUCGCCGCGGCUAGCGGCGCCGAUUGCGAUCACAUUUCACGCUUCUGGGUAGCUUGUGACGUCUCACGGCGUAACCGGGAGACGAGUUCAUAAACACCCUCGGCGUUUCUCCCUUCAAAGCCCCGUUAAAUGCUUUUUUAUGAGAGGAGCUGGAAGCAAUGGACUUCUACAAAAAGCUGAGAACAUGUGGCAGGAAGUGCAGCUGCUCCGCGUUUGACCCGAGCUCUUGGCACCAGCUUUUACGCGUCAAAUUAAAAGCGAGAGUGCCGCGGACAGGACAGCGUUGACCCUCUUGUACCGCCCCACCGAGGGCAUUUUCAGCCGUCUUUUACUGCACUUUUUUAUGACAUGAUUUUCCUUCCUGAACAAUUUUCUUUGCACUUGGCAUCGAAAGUGUCCAUAAAUUCAACAUCUCGUGAGCAGAUAAUGGAGGCUUCACGAGGGGGAAGUCGGUCAGCUCAGACAGCAAUCAAAUCCUUGUCUGUAGCACUUAAUGUCACGUGAGGGCUGUUAUUGUUCCGCGCUGCACUUUGUCUAAUAGCUGCUGCCGUCACGUCUCAUUCAUCACACGGAUUCGGGUUUUCUAAGGGCCGCCGUGCUUCACUGUAUUACAGCUUAGCCGUGUUUUUGUUUGAUCGGUAUAUGAUUACAAGGCUGACCGGCUGCCAUUAUACCUGCAACGGCACGCUGGAGGGUGAGCUCCCCUUUGUUUGACUCGAGUGCUGCAGCGCCGUGGUGGAAAAGUCGGAUAAAACAUCUUCCAUCGUUUCCCUCUGCUUUUAUUGUGAAAGGCCCAACUUGUAGGAGACCCUGGGGUCGACCCGGGACCAGGAGAGACUGCGUUGUCCUCUGGCCUGGUGAGACCUACAAGGCUCGGUUUAUUACUCAACUCUGCUGCCAAGGCCUCGUGGAAGCAGCCGAGGAAUCGAUGGAAGGGCCUGUAAAGGCUGUCGCUUGAGAUGAGUGAAACUAGCAGAGUGAACGUGUAAAGAAGCAUGAAGUAAACGUCCCGGGAGCUGCUGAGCAGAUCAAAACAGCGAACACGACAGACUGAGCUGCAUUCCCCUCAGGUGAUGACGGAGAUAAUCCACGAGCAGCCGAGCACAGACGAUAAGGUCGGACUCACACUGACACACACGCGCACACACACACGCAUGCACUCACAAUGGCCUCGUCUCAAAUGUACGCGCACAACCACAGCUCUAAUCCUCCCUGCAUGAUUGACAGAUGAGAGGGGGGGGCGUUAAGUGGCAGGGUGACAGCAUAAUGACAGUUCUUAGGAAAC